AUGCAAACAAAGCUCUCCUUCUCUCUCGCUUGUCGACUGAUUAUUUUCCAACGGCCAUCGCCUCAGUGUUUGACUUCGUUUCAGUCUGAUCCGCAUCAGCGUCAAUGGCUUCGAGAAUUUGUUCAUCUCUUCCGUACCUUUCUUCUUCAAUAUCCGUCUCAAAUCGUCUUAUUCACCGUCAUCAUCUUCAUUUGUGUCUGUUAUCCACCUCUAUCAUCUGAUUUUGAAGCUUCAACGAUGUCCUCUGCUUCGCGGUUUCAAACGUGUCUUCGAUCUCACUUCGAUGACGUCCUUUGCUUCGCAGUUUCAAAUGUGUCUCCGAUCUCACUUUGA